rnacentral:rRNA from 1 species
AGAUUGAACGCUGGCGGCAUGCCUUACACAUGCAAGUCGAACGGCAGCACGGGAGCAAUCCUGGUGGCGAGUGGCGAACGGGUGAGUAAUACAUCGGAACGUGCCCAAUCGGUGGGGGAUAACGCAGCGAAAGCUGUGCUAAUACCGCAUAAGAUCUACGGAUGAAAGCAGGGGAUCGCAAGACCUUGCGCGAAUGGAGCGGCCGAUGGCAGAUUAGGUAGUUGGUGAGGUAAAGGCUCACCAAGCCUUCGAUCUGUAGCUGGUCUGAGAGGACGACCAGCCACACUGGGACUGAGACACGGCCCAGACUCCUACGGGAGCAGCAGGUGGGAAUUUGGACAAGUGGGCGAA